AUCCAGUUGACGAGUCCCAAAUAGGACCGUGAGUCCUGGAU
rnacentral:hammerhead_ribozyme from 1 species